AGAGUUUGAUCCUGGCUCAGAAUCAACGCUGGCGGCGUGCCUAACACAUGCAAGUCGAGCGAGAAAGGGGGAGCAAUCCCCUGAGUAAAGCGGCGCACGGGUGAGUAACACGUGGGUAAUCUGCCCUGGAGUGGGGAAUAACACCGGGAAACCGGUGCUAAUACCGCAUACGAUAGCGAGGUCUGCGGACUUUGUUAUGAAAGGAGCAAUUCGCUCUAGGAGGAGCCCGCGGCUGAUUAGCUAGUUGGUGAGGUAAUGGCUCACCAAGGCUACGAUCAGUAUCCGGUCUGAGAGGACGGUCGGACACACUGGAACUGAGACACGGUCCAGACUCCUACGGGAGGCAGCAGUGGGGAAUUUUUGGCAAUGGGGGCAACCCUGACCAAGCAACGCCGCGUGGGUGAUGAAGUCUCUUGGGACGUAAAACCCUUUCGACGGGGAAGAAAACCGCAAGGUUUGACGGUACCCGUAGAAGAAGCCCCGGCUAACUCCGUGCCAGCAGCCGCGGUAAUACGGGGGGGGCAAGCGUUGUUCGGAAUUACUGGGCGUAAAGGGUGCGUAGGCGGUCCGCUAAGUUAGAUGUGAAAACUCUGGGCUNCACCCAGAGCCUGCAUCUAAUACUGACGGGCUAGAGUUCUGGAGGGGGUAGCGGAAUUCCUGGUGUAGCGGUGAAAUGCGUAGAUAUCAAGAGGAACACCGGUGGCGAAGGCGGCUCACUGGCCCCGUACUGAAGCUGAGGUGCGGAAGCGUGGGGAAGCAACAGGAUUAGAUACCCUGGUAGUCCACGCCGUAAACGAUGGAUGCUAGCCGUUUGGCAGGCUUGCCUGUCAGUGGCGCAGCUAACGCAUUAAGCAUCCCGCCUGGGGAGUACGGUCGCAAGAUAAAACUCAAAGGAAUGACGAAGGGCAAUCGCGCGCACCCC
rnacentral:rRNA from 1 species